GGCAGACCUAUAAAGAUAAAAAAGGUAUGUAGCCCAUUCAGCUUCAUAGUAACAAUUACAUCAAGAUAUCAAGGAUGAAAUUACAGACCAUUCAGAACUGUCCUGAAGAAGAGCUUUUAUAUAGAAAGACUUAAAUUUAAAUCUUUAGGUUUUCCAGGAUUCCCAGGGGAAAAACACUCCUGCUUUAGACCUUCAAGUGCCUCUUUUCCUCCUUCCCAUUAUCUUUUUUCCAGAUAUCUCAGUUAUUGUAGGUCAUUAGGCAGAGCAAACUCAUCCUCAUCACCUUCCUUUUAUAUCUUUUUGAGAUGGAGAAGAAAAUUUUUGCGCACAGCAUUCCAGAAACAGGUAUACCAUGGAUUUACAGUGCAUGAUAGCAUUCUGCUUUGUCUUCUGUUCCUUUUCUUUUUUUUUUUCCCUCACUAAGUGCUGAGCUAAUAUUUUUAUUGAGUUUUCUGUAGAGCUCAAAUCCUUACUGCCAGAGAUUUGCACCAAGCAAGAACCAAUAACAGUUUUCUUUUAGCUGCUUUUUCUCUUACUGAUAUAUAAUUGCCAUUUUAUCCCCCACUUCUCUUACUUGUUCCAUCAUCUCCUGGUCUUCCUGGCAGGCCUGCAGGACCAAUUGGUCCAACUGACCCUGAAUCACCAGCAGGACCUGGAAAUCCAGGAUCUCCUUGUGGACCUACACAGAAUUAUAAAAACAGGUGAACUGAACACCUUAUGCAACUGACAUCUUAAAUCUAAAACUGCAACUAAAAUUAUAAUUUGGGAAAUACACAAAAGUAAAAUACAGCAACAACUUUUGUCUUUAUGAAACAUUAUUAAAUGUGUAACAAUUUCAUUUAAAGGUGGGAGGAUUUGGUUAAUUUUCUAUGGAUUCUUGCCCAUUUCAUGGGCUCGGUUUUAACUCUUUGUCACUCCAUAGUAUUAUCUUUGCGCUACAUAUUUCAGAAUAUCAAGAGAUGUGCUUUUCCCAAAUAAAUACAUGUAGCAUAUAAAACAAAUGUGCAUCUCAUGUUAUGCACAUUUGGCAGUGCACACAGGGAGGUAAUUUCAGGAUCAUCCUAGUUGAAAUUAUCCAAAUUUUAAAAAGUAUCUUCAAAAUUGCUAUAAUGAAUAAAUUUUAAAAUUGCAAUUACAUAGUGCUAAAGAAAAUCUGUAUCAGAUAUAAAGGGCUUAAUUAAAUUACAAUAUAGGUUCCCCAAGUGUGAGAUGCCAAAGCAAAUCCCUUCCAGGCAGUAGGCUUGGCUGUUCCCCACUGCCUCCUGCUAUGAAAUAAGAACUUUCACGCAUCUCUUCACCACUUAGAUGAUAAAGAUGAGGAUAAAAGGAGCUAUGACAUAAAAACCUAGCCUGAGGUUUAGACAGGAAGGUAAUAAGAUUGACAGGUAUUCUGUUGGGAAGUACUAGUUCCAGGAUUUCAUCCCUGCUAUGCAAUAGAAAGCUCAAUUGCAGUCUAAAAAUCUGUGUGUUGUGGCAACUCUGAAAACAGGAAUUCUAAAUUACAAUGGGAAGGCUGGUUUUCUUAUUUGACAUCCAUUAUCCAGAAUGGGCUUAUUUUUUAUAGCUUUUUCUUAAAUAUGCCUAGGUUCAAUAGCGAGGCAUAGUCCUUGGGUUCUACCUAUGACUGUAUGCACGAAGAUCUUUCAAGCAAACAUUUCGCCUGAAACUUUAAGGUAGUUCCAGUAAGAUCAGUGAGACACAAACAAACACGCAAUGUGGCCCCUGGGAAGAUAAUGUUUUAGGAUUCUGCCUCCUGAAUCUCUAGUGAUCACUUUCAAACACCUUAGCAAAAUAGGUCCUAUGCACUUUAUACAGCAGAAAGACUAGUUAAAACUAGCUACAACCUUUUAUAGGAAGCAGUGAAGUUCCAACAGCUCCAGGAGGACCUGGGGGUCCUUUUUCUCCUGGAUCCCCCUGUAAAAGUCCAAAAAUAAAUUUUACUGAUAGAUACAAAUACACAAUGUGCAACCAUAUAAUUGAAAAUUACAACAAUGGUGGAGUAUGUAAGGAUGUGAAACAUAUCACCUGGGAAACUCCAUUUUGGCAAUUUUCAGCAUUUAAAACCAGACCAAAAGAUAUAAAUAUUCAUAUUUCAGGAUACCAGUGACUAAACAGUAAUAUACCUACUGUUUGAGUCACCAUUCCUGGAGGUGUCUAAAAGAUGUAUAGAGGAGGCUCUUAGGGACACGGUUUAGUGCCAGAGUUGGUUUAUGGUUGGACUUGAUGAUCUUAAGGGUCUCCUCCAAUCGAAAUGAUUCUAUGAUUCUAUUGCACAUAUCUAUUUGACUCUUCACAAUUUGCGACUGCUGCAUUUGACUUCAUUCAUGUAUUGUAAAGAUGAAUCAAUUAUAGUAAAUCAGUACCCUAUUUAAUGGAGAGGUUUUGAUUUAACAACCAAGUUGUAAUUCUUUGCCUCAAAAUUCUAUACCAGAAUUUGGAAAUUACUUCUGUGUUGACAGAUAAGCAUUAAGAAAUGAGGUUUCACAGUCUACAGAUUAUCGAUGGUAAGGGAUACUCAAAGUUCUUAGAAGAAGUUUAAAACAUCUGCAUCAGGAAAACAUAAAAGUGCCUACUAAUGGCAAGGAAAAUCACUUCUGCUUGGAGGAUUUCUGAAUUUGCUUGGCUUUUGAUAUUUAGAAUUGCAAGCAAAACGGAUUUUAGGGAGGUCUUUUAUGUGGCAAAUUGUAUUACAAUUUUGCUUUGUAGAUUAGGAAUCAACGCUGCUCUGUGCAGCAAGUGGGAACUGAGAAAACAAGAAUGUGAAUGUGGGAACUGUGUAGUGAGGCUGUGUGCCUGGGACUGGAGCUCAGGGCCUUUUAGGACACAGAGAAGGAAAAUUGGGACUGCAAAACCGGAUACCCAUUCUUACACAAGUGAAAACAAGGAGUAUGUGCCUCUUUCUAGCCCUUUUUUUUUUUUUUACAUUGACAUCUCUAUGAUAUUUAAACAGUUCUGGAGCUGUCACUGACUGCUGUCCUCUUGACUUUUGGCUGGCCUUUUUCCCUUGACUGUAUCUUGCAGAAUGAAAUAAUGUCACUGUCUCAUCUUUGGCUAUUUUAAACAGGAAUGUAAAUUUGUCUUCCCUAAUGACAUAGAAGAGUCUUCUGUGUGGCAGGAAAGAAAAAAUAAAUGUAGCAUUUUUCUUCCUCUGAUAAACACAAAAAUUAUUAUGAGAUUUAAAAUUAAUUUAAUUAUGAGAAAAGUACCCAAGAUUUGCACAAUAUCACACUGAUUUUAAAAUGACACAACCAGAACACAAGAAUUAAAGAGUCAGUGAGCCAAGGUAAAAAAUGACAGUUCUUGAUAUCUCAUUAAGUGACAAAUUCCAGUGGUGGCCUCUGAAAAUAUCUGUCUUUAGGCUGUUAGGUUUUAUGACGCUAUCUGGCUGACACCUUUGUACGUGCUCUGGUUUCACUUUUGCUACACUCCUAUAUAGUGGGAUAUAUGUGUUUGGAUUAUUUUGUUGACUAUUACUGCCACAAACAUCCAACAGAAGCAUAUCUCUACUGUAUUCUGUAACCUGGAAUCUUCUUAAAAUGAAAGCUUAUAAUCACUUGUCAGUUUUAUUGAUAUCCCUAUUAAGCAUUAAACACAGUGUUUGUUCUGUAGGUUUCUAUAGCUUUAUAUAAUGUCAAAGGCCAAGAACAUUUUGUACUUCCUAUAAAGACCAUUCAUUAUUUUAAUGAGUCAUUCCAUAAGAAGCAGAGAAGAAUGGUCUCUGAUUGACUUCAACAGGACUCAUAUCCUCCAUUGUAUUUUGCCUGAAUUUGCCUUCUGUCUUUUUUCAUAUUUAUAACAGAAAGGAUAAGGUUAGAAGGGAUAUCCGGAGGUUAUCUUGUCCAACCCUCCAUCUCAAGCAGGAUCACCUAGAGCUGGUUGCCCAUCACCAUGUCCAGACAGCUUUAGAAUAUCUACAAGGAUGGAGAUGAGUGCUGAGGGCAAGGAUCAUCUUCCUCAGCCUGCUGGCAACAUUAAUGAUUUUCCUAACACAAGCCAGGUUACCAGUAGCUGCCUUUGCAACAGGGGCAUGUUGCUGGCUCAUGGUCAAGAUCCACACGGUGUUGCCAAUGUCCAGACUUAGGGAUGGAAAGGUAGGCCAACAACUCCUUCGAGGCUCUUCUUUGCUUUAAGAAACAGUUAACAUGUUUUAAAGAUGAAAUCUACUUUGAAUGCAACUGUUGUUUUCCUGAGACUGACUAUUUUUUUUUCUUUCUUUCUUUUUUUCUCUCUUUCUCCUUCCUUCCUCUCUCUCUCAAAUCUGAGUUUAUUUUGGAUUCUAUGUGAAUGUGUUUAUUUCAGAAAAUCUAUGAGAGGAUGGGUUAUCUCAGGAGGGGUGCUAAUCAUAUUCUUGUUCCUCCAGUUUAUGUGAUUAUGAGAUGAAUAGCUGAAGCAGACUAGAUAUAUCUUCACUUUUUAGGAACACUCAGAUUUAUCCAGUUGUUUUUCAAGCAAAAUUACAGCAUCUGUGCAAUCAUUCUGAAUUUUGUACAUCUGCCUGAGUUAACCUGAUAUUUUGUGUCCAUAGUCAAUUAGUUUUCUUUCGCUCCAUGUGUUAGCAACUGGAAUUUCAUCUUUCCAAAGCAUUACCGCCAUCAUUUAAACUCUUCCCUAGUACGAUAUACCAAGAAAUAAUUAUUCUUUGCCUACUCUUCGUAGCGUUAAUUGAUGGCUUCUCAGGGUCUGGGCUCAAUGGAGACUGAUGAAGGCAUGGUUCUGUCUAUACAAUGUAUUGUCUCAACUUUAUUAAUGAUCCCUCAAACUAAAACAAUUUGCACAUCAUGGUGAGUACUUUUUAACAGCAAAACACUUAAGGUUUGAUUCUAGUUUUGGGUAGUAAUGGACUGUAAUGAUCCUUCUGUUACUAAAUAAGAUAUUGGGUGUUUCUGUCUAAUUAGUAUCUAAAUGAUCCCGCAUUGUUGUGAAGCUGCUAAUGGGCAAAUGGCAGAAAAAAUAACACCUAAGGACAUUUUUUUUUUCCCCAAGUACAACAACAUAAAUGAAAUCUUGGCUGAAGAAGCUGAUCUAGCACUCUCCUGGCAGUCCUACCUUAGAAACAAUCAUCUUCUGGUUUUCUGAGAUCUGGUAGUUCCCUGCCUGUGGAUUAUCCGUCAGCAAUAAAGACUCCAGAAUCUUUUUUGUGGCCGCUUCUGCUGAGCAUCCAGGAACUCCUUACUGGGACACCAAAGUUUAACCAUGCUGACAGAAAGGAAAGGAAAUGUAGAAUAGACAGUAAAGAACAACUCUUUCUCCAAGCAAGUGGGCUCUGCCUUUUCUACUCCUGAAGGUAUCCAUAACAUGAAGUCCGUUACACGUCAACAGCUCGACUGGAGACAACACUGAUCUUUUGCUACCAGGCAACAGUCAAUAGGUGUGUAUAAAACAGAUUCAGAAAGGUUUUCCAAAGGGUUUUGAAAUAUUUUUGCAUUCACACUGAUUUAGAUGGCGAUUAAGUUUUAUAGCACAAGUGCUGUUGUUUUUUCCAUCACCUUCUGCUUUGAAAGAUUAACUUAAUAACCACAGAAGGACCCUGCCAGCACCACGGGGGAAAAAAAA